rnacentral:rRNA from 1 species
UAAUACGUAGGUGGCGAGCGUUGUUCGGAUUUAUUGGGCGUAAAGGGUCCGCAGGAGGUUUGUUAAAAUUGGGGUGAAAUCCCGGAGCUCAACUCCGGAACUGCCUUGAUGACUGACGAACUAGAGUGCUGGAGAGGUAAGCGGAAUACCAGGUGUAGCGGUGGAAUGCGUAGAUAUCUGGUAGAACACCGAUAGCGAAGGCAGCUUACUGGACAGCAACUGACUCUCAGGGACGAAAGCGUGGGGAGCAAACAGG